UACGUAGGUGGCAAGCGUUGUCCGGAAUUAUUGGGCGUAAAGCGCGCGCAGGCGGUCCUUUAAGUCUGAUGUGAAAGCCCACGGCUCAACCGUGGAGGGUCAUUGGAAACUGGGGGGACUUAGUGCAGAAGAGGAAAGCGGAAUUCCACGUGUAGCGGUGAAAAUGCGUAGAGAUGUGGAGGAACACCGAUGGCGAAGGCAGCCCUUCUGGGCCAACACUGACGCUCAUGCACGAAAGCGUGGGGAGCAAACAGG
rnacentral:rRNA from 1 species